GAAAGGAGUAUAAGAACUGCUAACUCUAAUCACUGGCACUAAUCUACCAGGCUUUCC
rnacentral:tRNA from 1 species